rnacentral:rRNA from 1 species
UACGUAGGGUGCAAGCGUUGUCCGGAAUUAUUGGGCGUAAAGAGCUCGUAGGCGGUCUGUCGCGUCUGCUGUGAAAACUCGGGGCUUAACCCCGGGCCUGCAGUGGGUACGGGCAGGACUAGAGUGCGGUAGGGGAGACUGGAAUUCCUGGUGUAGCGGUGAAAUGCGCAGAUAUCAGGAGGAACACCGAUGGCGAAGGCGGGUCUCUGGGCCGUAACUGACGCUGAGGAGCGAAAGCGUGGGGAGCGAACAGG